GGUUGUUGUUGUGGCUCAAGCACUUUGACGGGUAGAUGGCACUCAGGUCAGUACCCCUAAAUGGGGAGGCUCUGGCCAGUCACUGCCUUGGCUCUGGGAGCCUGGACUAUAUUUGGAACUCUUAGGGGCCCUGGGUCAUUGUGAAGUCUCCAGCGAGGAAUCUGCCUCUCAUUUGCUUGGAUGAAACACUGUUGAGCAGUUUGGGCUGUGCUGGUUCUGAAGAGUGAAGCAGCAUUGCAGGGUCUCAGGAAAGUUCUUUACAGCUGUGUGAAAAUGGACUAAUACAACAUGGAAGAGGAAAUUCUGCCUCUGGACUGUCUUCAGAUUGCAGUAACAACUUCUCACUGAAUCACCAGCCUAUCCUGCCCUGCAGAUUCAGACUGGGGAGCACCAACAAUCAUAUCUUGUUCCAGCCCUGUUUCUGGGACUCCUCUACUACCACAGCCUGCUGGCCCACAGACCUCCUUCUCCUCUGCAUCCCGGUGGUCCUGACUCAGACCUUCUACAUUGUCACUUAGCAUUCACAACUCGCCAUUGAUCAAUGUCCCCCUUGGGAUCCUGUCUCACCAGGAGAACAAGUUGUACCAGCCUGUGCCCUUGGAUGCCAUUCCAGGCAGCAAUUCUGAAGACAGCUCUGGGGCUCCUCAGGUCUCUCUGCAGUGCUCCUCCUUCCCCUCUGCCUCCACUGCCCCAUCUCACCAGCCCUCCCCACCAACAUUUCCUCCAAGCCUCAACAAGUCACCCAAGAGUAUUCUAAGGUCCCUGCUGGUCUAUCUGACAAUAUGCAGAUAGGCCUUGGUUGCCUUGGCUGGCUGUGACCUUGCUGACAUCUAUAGACAGAGAGGUGGGAAUGAAAGACACAUUACUCCUGGAUGUUGGUGGAGAAGGUGGUGGUUGCAGUUGCUACGCAAGAGUCACCAGGCUGCAGACUCUGUCCACUUCUGAGAGUGCAAUGUCCCCUGUGAUUGGCUGGGAUUUCUGAGCUUUUCAGCUUGCAUAUGGUGAGAAUGUUGGCACACCGCAGCCCUGAGGGCCUGGGCUUUGGACUCCGGCAGUCCCACAUGUGUGUGCUACCUCUGCCGCUCUCUGGUUGUAUGAAGUCAAGCAAUGUCUGUAACCUCACUGAGUCACAGCGCUCUGCUCUGUAGAAUGGAGAUGGGAUCCUCUCUACCUCCUGCAGUGUCUGUGAAUGCCAUAACACAAGCCAGAGUGCUGAGCACCGUGCCCACCCUAGAAGAGGGCUCGGUGUAUAGUAGCAGCUCUUAAUGCUCCCAGGAUGCCUAAUAAAUUCUUUCAGAAA
rnacentral:lncRNA from 1 species